GUAGUCUCGCACAGAUGCAUAUCAAUAAGCGGAGGAAAAGAAACUAACAAGGAUUCCCUUAGUAACGGCGAGUGAAGCGGGAAGAGCUCAAAUUUGAAAUCUUCAAGGUUAUACCUUGACGAAUUGUAGUUUAAAGAAGUGUUUUCUGUUGAAGUUUUGGUAAAAGUUCUUUGGAAUAGGACAUCAUAGAGGGUGAGAAUCCCGUAUUUGACCAUUAUUUUCAGCUGUGUGAUACACUUUCAAAGAGUCGGGUUGUUUGGGAAUGCAGCCCAAAACGGGAGGUAAAUUUCUUCUAAGGCUAAAUAUUGGCGAGAGACCGAUAGCGAACAAGUACCGUGAGGGAAAGAUGAAAAGAACUUUGAAAAGAGAGUUAAAUAGUACGUGAAAUUGUCAAAAGGGAAGCGUUUAACACAGUGUUGUUUUCUGAAAAUCAACCUCUGUUAGCUUUAUGCAUGUUUGUUUAGACCUAAUCAGCUAUCUUGCAUGUUCUAUUGUUUGCAGUGGUGCACUUUUCAGUUUACAGGUCAACAUCAGUUUUUUUUACCGUAAAAAAGUUAAAGAAAGGUAGCUCAUGGCUCCGGUCGUGAGUGUUAUAGUCUUUUUCCUAUGCGGUAGGAGAGACUGAGGUCUGCAGUGUAGGCUAUUUGGCUAGAUACUCAGGUGCUAUGUGAUACCAUUUCAUAAACAACUUGUUGAUCAUGUUUUGUCUAUUGCAUACUCGCUUAGUACUAUCAUACCUACGCUUAGGAUGUUGAAGAUGUAGCACAUCAU
rnacentral:rRNA from 1 species